AAUCACGACAUUGUAAGAUGCUGUGAUUGCAUCUUACAGCAUCUUACAAAGCUGUGACUGC
rnacentral:pre_miRNA from 1 species